GACGAACGCUGGCGGCGUGCUUAACACAUGCAAGUCGAACGAUGAAGGAGAGCUUGCUCUCCGGAUUAGUGGCGAACGGGUGAGUAACACGUGACUAACCUGCCCCUUUCUCUGGGAUAACGCCCCGAAAGGAGUGCUAAUACCGGAUACGAACUCUGAACACAUGUUCGGAGUUGGAAAGUUUUUCGGAAAGGGAUGGAGUCGCGGCCUAUCAGCUUGUUGGUGAGGUAACGGCUCACCAAGGCGACGACGGGUAGCCGGCCUGAGAGGGCGACCGGCAACACUGGGACUGGGACACGGCCCAGACUCCUACGGGAGGCAGCAGUGGGGAAUAUUGCACAAUGGGCGAAAGCCUGAUGCAGCGACGCCGCGUGAGGGAUGAAGGUCUUCGGAUUGUAAACCUCUUUCAGUAGGGACGAAGCGACAGUGACGGUACCUAAAGAAGAAGCACCGGCUAACUACGUGCCAGCUGCCGCCGUAA
rnacentral:rRNA from 1 species